GACGAACGCUGGCGGCGUGCUUAACACAUGCAAGUCGAACGGAAAGGCCCUGCUUUUGUGGGGUGCUCGAGUGGCGAACGGGUGAGUAACACGUGAGUAACCUGCCCUUGACUUUGGGAUAACUUCAGGAAACUGGGGCUAAUACCGUAUAGGAGCUCCUGCUGCAUGGUGGGGGUUGGAAAGUUUCGGCGGUUGGGGAUGGACUCGCGGCUUAUCAGCUUGUUGGUGGGGUAGUGGCUUACCAAGGCUUUGACGGGUAGCCGGCCUGAGAGGGUGACCGGGCACAAUGGGACUAAGAGACGGAGCAGACUCCUACGGGAGGCAGCAGUGGGGAAUAUUGCACAAUGGGCGGAAGCCUGAGGCAGCGACGUCGCGUGCGGGAUGACGGCCUGCGGGUUGUAAACCGCUGUCGCCUGUGACGAAGCGGGAGUGACGGUAAUGGGUAAAGAAGCACCGGCUAACUACGUG
rnacentral:rRNA from 1 species